rnacentral:rRNA from 1 species
GACGAACGCUGGCGGCGUGCCUAAUACAUGCAAGUUGAGCGCUGAAGGUUGGUACUUGUACCAACUGGAUGAGCAGCGAACGGGUGAGUAACGCGUGGGGAAUCUGCCUUUGAGCGGGGGACAACAUUUGGAAACGAAUGCUAAUACCGCAUAAAAACUUUAAACACAAGUUUUAAGUUUGAAAGAUGCAAUUGCAUCACUCAAAGAUGAUCCCGCGUUGUAUUAGCUAGUUGGUGAGGUAGAGGCUCACCAAGGCGAUGAUACAUAGCCGACCUGAGAGGGUGAUCGGCCACAUUGGGACUGAGACACGGCCCAAACUCCUACGGGAGGCAGCAGUAGGGAAUCUUCGGCAAUGGACGAAAGUCUGACCGAGCAACGCCGCGUGAGUGAAGAAGGUUGUCGGAUCGUAAAACUCUGUUGGUAGAGAAGAACGUUGGUGAGAGUGGAAAGCUCAUCAAGUGACGGUAACUACCCAGAAAGGGACGGCUAACUACGUG